rnacentral:rRNA from 1 species
UUGACAUAUACAGGAAUGUUGUAGAGAUACAGCAGCCGCUUGCGGUCUGUAUACAGGUGCUGCAUGGCUGUCGUCAGCUCGUGCUGUGAAGUGUUGGGUUAAGUCCCGCAACGAGCGCAACCCUAUCAUCUGUUGCCAGCAUUUAAGGUGGGGACUCAGAUGAGACUGCCGGUGACAAACCGGAGGAAGGUGGGGACGACGUCAAGUCAUCAUGGCCCUUAUGUCCUGGGCUACACACGUGCUACAAUGGCCGGUACAGAGUGAAGCGAAACCGCGAGGUGAAGCAAAACGCAGAAAGCCGGUCUCAGUACGGAUUGGAGUCUGAAACUCGACUUCAUGAAGUUGGAAUCGCUAGUAAUCGCGCAUCAGCACGCCGCGGUGAAUACGUUCUCGGGGUUU